rnacentral:rRNA from 1 species
AGCGAACGCUGGCGGCAGGCCUAACACAUGCAAGUCGAACGGACCCUUCGGGGUUAGUGGCGGACGGGCGAGUAACACGUGGGAACGUGCCUUUAGGUUCGGAAUAACUCAGGGAAACUUGUGCUAAUACCGAAUGUGCCCUUCGGGGGAAAGCUUUAUCGCCUUUAGAGCGGCCCGCGUCUGAUUAGCUUGUUGGUGGGGUAAUGGCCCACCAAGGCGACGAUCAGUAGCUGGUCUGAGAGGAUGACCAGCCACAUUGGGACUGAGACACGGCCCAAACUCCUACGGGAGGCAGCAGUGGGGAAUCUUGCGCAAUGGGCGAAAGCCUGACGCAGCCAUGCCGCGUGGAUGAUGAAGGUCUUAGGAUUGUAAAAUCCUUUCACCGGUGAAGAUAAUGACUGUAGCCGGAGAAGAAGCCCCGGCUAACUUCGUGCCAGCCGCCGCAGUAAUAC